rnacentral:rRNA from 1 species
GACGAACGCUGGCGGCGUGCCUAAUACAUGCAAGUCGAACGCAGUGGGGACGGGUGAGUAACACGUGGGUAACCUCCCAUCAGAGGGGAUAACACUUGGAAACAGGUGCUAAACCGAUACUGAUGGAUGGACCCGCGGUGCAUUAGAUAGUUGGGGAGGUAACGGCUCACCAAGGCCACUAUGCAUAGCCGACCUGAGAGGGUUAUCUGCCACACUGGGACUGAGACACGGCCCAUACGCCUACGGGAGGCAGCAGUAGGGAAGCUUCGGCAAUGGACGAAAGUCUGACCGAGCAACGCCGCGUGAGUGAAGAAGGUUUUCGGAUCGUAAAACUCUUUUGUUAGAGAAGCGGUAUCUAACCAGAAAGCCACGGCUAACUACGUGCCAGCCGCCGCGGUAAUUC